rnacentral:rRNA from 1 species
AUUGAACGCUUGCGUCAGGCCUAACACAUGCAAGUCGAGCGAGCGGCGGACGGGUGAGUAAUGUAUGGGGACUGCCCGAUAGAGGGGGAUAACUACUGGACACGGUGGCUAAUACCGCAUACUAUCGGAUAACCCAUAUGGGAUUAGCUCGUAGGUGGGGUAAAGGCUCACCUAGGCGACGAGGUCUCGCUGGGCUGAGAGGAGGAUCAGCCACACUGGGACGGAGACACGGCCCAGACUCCUACGGAGGCAGCAGUGGGGAAUAUUGCACAAUGGGCGCAAGCCUGAUGCAGCCAUGCCGCGUGUAUGAAGAAGGCCUUAGGGUUGUAAAGUACUUUCAGCGGGGAGGCGUUACCCGAAGAAGAAGCACCGGCUAACUCCGUGCCAGCAGCCGCGGUAAUAC